CAAACCCAUGAACGGUUAUGGUUGCUCUGUCUUGUUUAUUCAGUAGAUGCAUAAAUUGCAUCCAUCGCAAAAUGUAGCGAUGUAUCAUGACUACGAUACAAGACUCGUUGGACUAAAUAGAAAACGAAAACGCCAAUUUGCAUUUCAUUAUUUAAACCUAACCAAAUGUAUUUAUUUAAAAAAAAAAAAAAAAAAAAAAAAGGUUACUAUUCAUGCUCCUUGACAAUUUCAUGAAACUAGGGAAUUAGCCUUGAAAGAACUACAUCAAAGUUGUUUUUUUCACUCUCUGUUAUGCAGGAUCGAGCAAAUUUUCUAUAUGUAACCAAUUUUACUAACGAAAGACAUAUGGAAAAAAUAUUAUUCAACGAGAUACGCCAUUUAAUAAAUGCAAUAGA